GAUGAACGCUAGCGGCAGGCCUAACACAUGCAAGUCGAGGGGUAGCAGGAUUAAGCUUGCUUAAUUGCUGACGACCGGCGCACGGGUGCGUAACGCGUAUGCAACCUAUCUUAUACUGGGGUAUAGCCCGGAGAAAUUCGGAUUAAUCCCCCAUAGUACUAAUGAAUCGCAUGGUUUAUUAGUUAAAGCAUUGCGGUAUAAGAUGGGCAUGCGUCCUAUUAGCUAGAUGGUGAGGUAACGGCUCACCAUGGCUACGAUAGGUAGGGGGCCUGAGAGGUUGGUCCCCCACACUGGUACUGAGACACGGACCAGACUCCUACGGGAGGCAGCAGUGAGGAAUAUUGGUCAAUGGGCGCAAGCCUGAACCAGCCAUGCCGCGUGCAGGAAGAAUGCCCUAUGGGUUGUAAACUGCUUUUAUUUGGGAAUAAACCUCUUUACGUGUAGAGAGCUGAAGGUACCAAAUGAAUAAGCACCGGCUAACUCCGUGCCAGCCGCCGCAGUAA
rnacentral:rRNA from 1 species